rnacentral:rRNA from 1 species
GGGGGGGGCAAGCGUUGUUCGGAAUUACUGGGCGUAAAGGGCUCGUAGGCGGCCAACUAAGUCAGACGUGAAAUCCCUCGGCUUAACCGGGGAACUGCAUCUGAUACUGGAUGGCUUGAGAUUGGGAGAGGGAUGCGGAAUUCCAGGUGUAGCGGUGAAAUGCGUAGAUAUCUGGAGGAACACCGGUGGCGAAGGCGGCAUCCUGGACCAACACUGACGCUGAGGAGCGAAAGCCAGGGGAGCAAACGGGAUUAGAUACCCCGGUAGUCCUGGCCCUAAACGAUGAAUGCUUGGUGUGACGGGUAUCGAUCCCUGUCGUGCCGAAGCUAACGCAUUAAGCAUUCCGCCUGGGGAGUACGGUCGCAAGGCUG